rnacentral:rRNA from 1 species
GAUGAACGCUGGCGGCGUGCCUAAUACAUGCAAGUCGAGCGAACAGACGAGGAGCUUGCUCCUUCGACGUUAGCGGCGGACGGGUGAGUAACACGUAGGUAACCUACCUAUAAGACUGGGAUAACUUCGGGAAACCGGAGCUAAUACCGGAUAAUAUUUCGAACCGCAUGGUUCGAUAGUGAAAGAUGGCUUUGCUAUCACUUAUAGAUGGACCUGCGCCGUAUUAGCUAGUUGGUAAGGUAACGGCUUACCAAGGCAACGAUACGUAGCCGACCUGAGAGGGUGGUCGCCCACACUGGAACUGAGACACGGUCCCGACUCCUACGGGAGGCACCAGUAGGGAAUCUUCCGCAAUGGGCGAAAGCCUGACGGAGCAACGCCGCGUGAGUGAUGAAGGUCUUCGGAUCGUAAAACUCUGUUAUUAGGGAAGAACAAACGUGUAAGUAACUGUGCACGUCUUGACGGUACCUAAUCAGAAAGCCACGGCUAACUACGUG